UGCGGAGGGUGCGAGCGUUAAUCGGAAUUACUGGGCGUAAAGCGCACGCAGGCGGUUUGUUAAGCUAGAUGUGAAAGCCCCGGGCUCAACCUGGGAUGGUCAUUUAGAACUGGCAGACUAGAGUCUUGGAGAGGGGAGUGGAAUUCCAGGUGUAGCGGUGAAAUGCGUAGAUAUCUGGAGGAACAUCAGUGGCGAAGGCGACUCCCUGGCCAAAGACUGACGCUCAUGUGCGAAAGUGUGGGUAGCGAACAGG
rnacentral:rRNA from 1 species